UGAGCAAUCUGCCCUUCUCAUCGGAAUAAGCGUUGGAAACGACGUCUAAUGCCGAAUACGACCUCCUUUCGCAUGAUCGGAGGUGGAAAGCUCCGGCGGAGAAGGAUGAGCUCGCGGCCUAUCAGCUAGUUGGUGUGGGUAAUGGCUCACCAAGGCGACGACGGGUAGCCGGCCUGAGAGGGUGACCGGCCACACUGGGACUGAGACACGGCCCAGACUCCGUAGGAGG
rnacentral:rRNA from 1 species